rnacentral:pre_miRNA from 13 species
UAUGAAUCGUGGUGAAGUGUUCACUCCUUGGUGGUAGUUACUCAUGUAUCACAAUUGUCUGGGUAUGUGCCAUGUUACUCC